rnacentral:rRNA from 1 species
CCUACGGGUGGCUGCAGUGAGGAAUAUUGGUCAAUGGGCGCAAGCCUGAACCAGCCAAGUCGCGUGAGGGAAGACGGCCCUACGGGUUGUAAACCUCUUUUGCCGGGGAGCAAGCCUGAGCACGUGUGCCCAGGCGGAGAGUACCCGGAGCAAAAGCAUCGGCUAACUCCGUGCCAGCAGCCGCGGUAAUACGGAGGAGGCGAGCGUUAUCCGGAUUUAUUGGGUUAAAGGGGUGCUCAGGGGGGCUGUUAAGCCGGCGGUAAAAAUUCAGGGCUCAACCCUGUAGGGCCGUCGGGACUGGCAGCCUGGAGUGGGCGAGAAGUAUGCGGAAUGCGUGGUGUAGCGGUGAAAUGCAUAGAUAUCACGCAGAACGCCGAUUGCGAAGGCAGCAUACCGGCGCCCGACUGACGCUGAGGCACGAAAGCGUGGGGAUCGAACAGGAUUAGAUACCCCUGUAGUC